ACGCUGGCGGCAGGCCUAACACAUGCAAGUCGAGCGGUAGAGAGAAGCUUGCUUCUCUUGAGAGCGGCGGACGGGUGAGUAAUGCCUAGGAAUCUGCCUGGUAGUGGGGGAUAACGUUCGGAAACGGACGCUAAUACCGCAUACGUCCUACGGGAGAAAGCAGGGGACCUUCGGGCCUUGCGCUAUCAGAUGAGCCUAGGUCGGAUUAGCUAGUUGGUGGGGUAAUGGCUCACCAAGGCGACGAUCCGUAACUGGUCUGAGAGGAUGAUCAGUCACACUGGAACUGAGACACGGUCCAGACUCCUACGGGAGGCAGCAGUGGGGAAUAUUGGACAAUGGGCGAAAGCCUGAUCCAGCCAUGCCGCGUGUGUGAAGAAGGUCUUCGGAUUGUAAAGCACUUUAAGUUGGGAGGAAGGGCAGUUACCUAAUACGUGAUUGUUUUGACGUUACCGACAGAAUAAGCACCGGCUAACUCUGUGCCAGCAGCCGCGGUAAUACAGAGGGUGCAAGCGUUAAUCGGAAUUACUGGGCGUAAAGCGCGCGUAGGUGGUUUGUUAAGUUGGAUGUGAAAUCCCCGGGCUCAACCUGGGAACUGCAUUCAAAACUGACUGACUAGAGUAUGGUAGAGGGUGGUGGAAUUUCCUGUGUAGCGGUGAAAUGCGUAGAUAUAGGAAGGAACACCAGUGGCGAAGGCGACCACCUGGACUGAUACUGACACUGAGGUGCGAAAGCGUGGGGAGCAAAC
rnacentral:rRNA from 1 species